rnacentral:lncRNA from 10 species
GCUCAUCUCAGUGGACAAAGGGUGGACGGGAAGGGCCUGGCAUGGAGGACUGUGUGAUGAAAUUGCAGUCACUGAUUAUGUGGUGGCUGCUUCUCAGCCCCUUGCUAUGUGCUCUAAGCCCCAGGUGCAGAACCAGUCAUCAGGAUGUGGACUUUCGUUCUCCAGUUGCUGGACCGAAGAGGAAGCCAUUUCGAAGGCCUCAGGAGGAAGCUAUGCAACAGUCCCAAUUGUUCUCAAGCAGAGGAGAGCAGCACUUUGGUUUACCCAAGUGCUGGCCCAGGAGGCCCUCAGCCGCUUUGCAUCCUGCCAGGGACCUGUCAUCACCAGUCAACUCUGUUCCCCGGCUCGUGGACCCAGAUUACUGGGGAUCUGAACACCAGGAGGGGCUGGCUGAUUGCUGAGAACAGUCAGUCACUGUUUGUCUUCACCGUUAG